AAAUUGCAUACAAACAAGAAGAAAAAAAAUGUAAAAAUGAAAGUAUAUAAGCUGCUUGAAACAAGAAAAAUCAAGAAAAAUAUGAAAACUUAAACGUUAGGUAGUUGAUGUGUUAGAGUUAGUGAGAUAGUCGAUCAAGAAAGUAGGAUAAUUUGUUAUUUGGUUUCUAAUUAAAAUGACUGAAACAGUUAAAAAUGUGUGUUCACAGUAGUACCAACUAGAAAGACUCUUAGUGCACGAAUUUAUUAUAAGAUUAAGUGGUUUUUAAGGAUCAUUGUUUUAAAAUUUUGGAACGUUACUUAACCGCAAUGAUAUUUGGUAUGUGUGUGUGUUAUGAUCUUUGUUGUUUUCGCAGAAAGAAAACGAUGUGAAUGUUGUCAAGAGUACAAGGGUGUUGUA
rnacentral:lncRNA from 1 species